UUGUAAUAAGUGAUGGUCAAAAUUUUUAAUGUUGAACAAAUCGAGUAGGAUUCAAUUGUAUUAUGCAUAUUAUUGUAAGCAGUAACUGUGCUUGUGCGAGUUUGAUUAUGUUUUGUAGAACCUUGUAGUAGUAGUUAAAGACAAUGCCAUAAAUAACAGGACUACCAGGUGGUGCCAUAAAUAACAGGACUACCGGAUGGUGUCAUAGAUAACAGGACUCCCGGAUGGUGCCACAGAUAAUAGGACUCCCAGAUGGUGUUACAGAUAACAAAGCGCUCGGAUGUUGCAACAGAUAACAAAAGUUCCAGAGGCGGAAAUUCCCAGCACGUAAACGAACGCAUAACGUAUAUAAGCACAUACGAAAGGUUGAUUUGGUGUGCCUGUUGGUGGAACUGAGCUUCCCCCGGUCACCCAGCGCUGUUUUGCCUAAUUACCGCUUGCUAAAUAAAAUCGAUUGAUUGACUCAGAAUCGAUUUAUUGGCUCUUAUUUAUAACAAAUUUUGGUGCCGUGACUCGGAUUAAGGAUCUCUGGGAGGGACUCUUAAACUUCAGGGAGGCGCCCCGUCCCGUUUUCAGACGGCCCUGGAGUGGACAGAGGAUUGCCCUGAAACCUUAACCUCCGAACCCUAAAUUUAGGUAAUUAGGCAAAAGAAUUGAACCCCUUAAACCUUUGUGCACGAAGAACCGGACGAAGACCCCAGGGAGGAUAUCACAGUCUGCACCGUGGAAAGAGGAUGGACACACGCUAGUCGAGUAAAAGGUCCUAUACUGCACACAGACUGGGAAGUCACUGGGAAACUGUAUGAGUUGAAGCUGACCUUCAAGAGGAAACAGACACGUGACGCAUAGCCCUGGAUACUAGGCUUUUUAUGGACAAUUGUAAGGAAUUACAUAAGUCGCACAUUGCAUGUCCUGUAUGUAAGCAAUGCAAUCCGUGGGUAUGUCGUGUGUGUCACGGGUGCGGGAUACAGCAGUGAAAAAAAGUUUCCUUAUGUUGAACGAUGGUGUAAUGAGUGUUGGGAAAAAAAACCUUAGAUACCAUUAGGAUAUUAAUAAUCACUGAUAAGUCCAGACAUUUGGGAAAUAACCAAGAGGAAGUGUAAGAAGCGUUUUGGUAAGAAAAGAUACAGGAAGUGUUCCAAACCCUGUGAGGAUUCGGGACAGUGGCCAAACCCUUGUAUUUGAAAAUAGCCCUAUUGGGUUCAAUAUUGGAAAGUGGGUUGUGACAGAACAAGGAGAGAAUUCAGGAGGCAGUCCCCUGAAGACUACAACUGCUGCCGAGAAGAUAACUUAUCCGGCUACUCUGAAGCAACAGAGUAGGCCCAGGGCAAGGCAGAGGGGUAUCCUUGUGGGGAUUGGCAAGUGCCUCCGAAGACUUCUAAAAUAAAGCAGCUCCUUAAGCAGAACAACCCUCAACAAAAUGAACCUCCACUGGCUGAUUUUCAGCCAGCCAGGGGCCGGGUUGCUCUCCCUAAUCCUCCUUACCUUACCGGUAAUAAUAGCAAUAAAGCAGGGGAGUUCUCACCAACCUUUUAAAUGGACCCUCUAUCGAUGGGAGGACCAAACGAUAAUACAACAACAGACCACAUCAGGGUCACCUUCUUUUACUGUAACCUUAUGCCAAUUAGUUCAGAUUGAGCCAUGCCUUAACAAAAUGGGGUUUUAUAUGUGCCCCAGCACAGGGCCCUCGUAUUGUAAUACUCCAGGACACUAUUACUGCUCUUACUGGGGGUGUGAAAUGAUUGCCUCAAGCUGGCCAAUUCCUCCGGCAAAUACUGAUAAGUUCUUAAAGGUUGGAUGGGGACCUGUAGGAUGCAUUCCUCCUUCGAACCAAGGCCACCGACUAAAACUCGGUUAUCCUCGCAACCGAAACGAGCGGGACAGUGAUGGCGAGUAUGAAUAUAUAUUCCUUAACAUAACAAACCCUGAACAUAGUGGAUGGUUUGUUAGAAAAACCUGGGGAAUGCGAUAUUAUCGACCGGGUGCUGAUAGAGGAAGCAUGUUUCUCAUAAAGAAAGAAGAAGUUAAACCGACCCCUCUAGGUAGGGAGACAAAGACAGUAGAGAAGGAGAAUAUAAUAGUAAUAGAGGAAACUGUCACUGAAGCCUUGAAAUCUCUGAAUAUUGAAGCCCCGGAAUCUUUGAAUCCUCUAUGGGGAAUUAUUCUGGCUGCUUAUCAAACUCUAAACUAUACUCAACCCAACUUAACCAUGGGUUGCUGGUUGUGUUAUAAUGUUAAUCCACCCUUUUAUGAAGCUAUACGGGAUAAUCGUCGGUAUACCAUAAACAAGGAGUCUAUGCCUAUUCAAUGUCCCUGGGAAAAGCAGAAAAGAGGGAUAACUAUGCAACAUGUAACUGGAAUAGGGACUUGUACAGGUAAAGUACCAAAUUCCAAGAGACCACUUUGUGGGAAUAUCAUACCAAGCCUUAAUAAAACCACAGGAUAUAUUAUUCCCCCAAAUAGAACAAAAUGGAUAUGUUCCAGGACGGGACUUACUCCAUGUGUGUCUUUAAAAGUGUUUAACAGUUCCCGAGAGUAUUGCAUGUCAGUUACUAUCAUUCCAAGGAUAUUAUAUCAUCAAGAAGAUGUGAUGUAUCCUAAAUCGAUUUAUUGGACUAGUUAAAAACCGUGUAGAGCGGGUACACCUUAUGCUGCUACAAAAACAUGGAACUGAUGAAGAAGCUGAAAUGACCUUACUAGCCCGAAAAGCGGUAACUCGAUUUGAUCAACAAAUAAAUGAGUAAAAAAAAAAAAAAAAGGGGGGAAUUGUAAUAAGUGAUGGUCAAAAUUUUUAAUGUUGAACAAAUCGAGUAGGAUUCAAUUGUAUUAUGCAUAUUAUUGUAAGCAGUAACUGUGCUUGUGCGAGUUUGAUUAUGUUUUGUAGAACCUUGUAGUAGUAGUUAAAGACAAUGCCAUAAAUAACAGGACUACCAGGUGGUGCCAUAAAUAACAGGACUACCGGAUGGUGUCAUAGAUAACAGGACUCCCGGAUGGUGCCACAGAUAAUAGGACUCCCAGAUGGUGUUACAGAUAACAAAGCGCUCGGAUGUUGCAACAGAUAACAAAAGUUCCAGAGGCGGAAAUUCCCAGCACGUAAACGAACGCAUAACGUAUAUAAGCACAUACGAAAGGUUGAUUUGGUGUGCCUGUUGGUGGAACUGAGCUUCCCCCGGUCACCCAGCGCUGUUUUGCCUAAUUACCGCUUGCUAAAUAAAAUCGAUUGAUUGACUCAGAA